rnacentral:rRNA from 1 species
ACCGUCCCACGUUCGGAUCGCAGGCUGCAACCCGCCUGCGUGAAGUCGGAAUCGCUAGUAAUCGCGGAUCAGCAUGCCGCGGUGAAUACGUUCCCGGGCCUUGUACACACCGCCCGUCACACCAUGAGAGUCGGGAACACCCGAAGCCCGUAGCCUAACUUUAACGAGAGGGCGCGGUCGAAGGUGGGUUCGAUAAUUGGGGUGAAGUCGUAACAAGGUAUC